UUGCGUUUAUUUGAAAACCAGCACUGAAUCACCAUUAUGCCUUACAGUUACAGUGGCUCUUUUUUAUAUUGUAUUUGCUGUUAAUAUGGUAUCUUCUAAACUAUGUUACAAAAUUUUCAGUUGUGUUUAUACUACAUUCUUUUAUAAAUUUACAGUGGCCAUCCACCAGGACGAUGCUGACAGCCAAAGAAAGCUCCUUCCCCACCGCUGACAGCCGAAACCGCUCUUGUGCUCAUCAAGGUUAGUCAAUGUAUAGGACUGCGCUUUUGUGUGUCCUUUCCUUCAAGCUGUCAUUCAGGAGAAGAGAGGAGCGAGGCCUCGAUCCAGACUCAGGAGGAGGAGGAGACGAGGAGAAACACCUAUUUUUAUUGUCCGUCAAGCCCCAUUAUACUUUGCGGUUCCAGCCACCUGAUCACUAACCUGAAUGAGUAAGUAGACCAUUAUAUAUGAUGGUCUUGCUUCCUUUUGUGAUCAUGUAUCUAUGUUAGAUCCGGUGA